rnacentral:rRNA from 1 species
ACUACGGGUGGCAGCAGUGAGGAAUAUUGGUCAAUGGGCGGGAGCCUGAACCAGCCAAGCCGCGUGAGGGAAGAAGGUACAGCGUAUCGUAAACCUCAUUUGUCAGGGCACAAAGGCGGGGACUAGUCCCCGGAUGAGGGUACCUGAAGAAAAAGCAUCGGCUAACUCCGUGCCAGCAGCCGCGGUAAUCCGGAGGAUGCGAGCGUUAUCCGGAUUUAUUGGGUUUAAAGGGUGCGAAGGCGGCCUGUUAAGUUAGCGGGAAAAGCCCGGGGCUCACCCCCGGCGAGCCGUUGAAACUGGCGGGCUGGAGUGGGAGAGAGGUACGCGGAAUGCGCGGUGUAGCGGUGAAAUGCUUAGAUAUCGCGCAGAACCCCGAUUGCGAAGGCAGCAUACCGGCUCCACACUGACGCUGAGGCACGAAAGCGUGGGUAUCGAACAGGAUUAGAUACCCUAGUAGUC